UUGGAGCUGGAAGCUCAAACUAUGGUAGGCAUGCUUUGGCGGUCAGAAAGUGGGAUGCCUUCACACUAUUUUGCCAUUAUCUCAUGGUUUAGCAGCAUGAUCAUAAGGCAUCACUGGAAAUAUCUCUUGCAUUCUGGGUACUGGAAUGCCUGAUCUGUUCUCAAUCAAUAUAUCAGUUUUGUAUUGUGGCUACUGGAAUACCUGAUCUGUUCUCAAUGCAUAUCAGUCUAUUUAGGAAAAAGGAUAUAUUGUUUUGCACUUCAUUAGUUGGAUAAAACCAUCUGCCUGUUUCUUGGUUCGCUUUGAGCUAGAUUUUUUAUGAAGACUACAGAGAGGCUUUUCAGUGACCUUUAGCAUCAUUUCAAUGGAAGUGAUGUUAGGGGAACAAUCAACAUUGAUCCACCUCAUUAGAGGCAGUUAUCCCACACAUAUACCACUCUAGACCAUGUGUUUGUGUGGAUAGGGCAUUCCUCCUCUGUUUAUUCACUUUAGACCAUGUGUUUGAUUGGAUAUCCCAUUAGGUCCUGGAUCUAAUGAGACCUAAUCAAGGGGUCCAUCGAUCUUGCUCGAUAGGUGUUUGAUGGAAUGCCGGUGAAGAUUUUAAUCUUGUGGAAUGGCAGGUCAUGAUUCUCUUCAAUUCAUGAUUCUCUUCUUCUAUAUUUUUUUAGACAUAUUUAGUUGGUUGUAAGUAUGCCUUUGGUCGAGAGAUUGUUGUUGUUAAUCCUUGUUCACUAACCAAGCAAGGGCCAUGUUUGAUUGAAUUUGAUGUACAUUGUAGCUGCCAAGUGGCUGCCAUGUGUGUGUGUGUGUGUGUGUGUGUGUGACCAGUUUCAAGUGCAUUGCAGGCAGGUAGGACAGAGACAUGCCUAUGAUAACUUGAUGAAUGUAGAUGGCAUGGGCUGGGGCUGUAAUCAGAGAAAGAAAAAUGUUGGUGUUCUAAGUUGCUAAGAUUUAGCAAAUAGAAUUAGAUUUCAAAAUUUGUCCAACUGUGGCACUUCAUGUGAGAUCUGGCAGGCAAUCCAAGGCCUUUAUAUGUGUGGCGUCCUGAAAAUGAGGCUGGACACCCCACCAGAUAUAGGCCCCAUUAACAAUGUUAGGUUACCCAAAAUUAGCCUUGUUUUUUUUUUUUUUUUUCAACUACACUGCUGUACUUAGGAUGGCCUUUCCCAAUUUAGCCUGUUAGUCCUUUCAGAUUAUUAAUAUAGUAUUUUUGCUAAGGCUGACAUUAGCACAUAAACCCCAUAACCAGCUUUUUUGGGAACAAGAGUGGGGUUUGGGCUACUUUGAUUGGCCUUAUGAGGAGAAAUGUAUGAAUAAAUUGGAUUUUGGUAUGAUUUUACAGGGUUUACUGGUUCCUCUGUUUUUGUUUUUUUUUUUCCAUGCUUCUUCACUGGUACUUCUGUAUGUAAUAAGUGAAGAAAUUUGGACAAAAUUCUCAUCAUCUGAUAUGUAACCGAAGGUGAAUUUUGGAAGUAUUGCAUUUAUGUAGAGCAAUAGAUGACUAUUCCCAGGGAUCUUUUGGGGUUUUAUUCCUUUUUCCUUCUCAUUGCAUCUAUCAGUUGGCAUUGAUGUUUUGUUUGGAGCUGAACCUUUCUGAUUGUCUUGCAUUAGCGUGGAUCUGAUACUUGAUGCAGUAGGAAAGUCCAUAAUAAUGAUAUAAAUGAUUGAGUGAUUGAACUGAUAUUUGGAAUAAAAUGUCUCCAUUCCAUGCUAAGGCUUCCUUAUCAAAAGCCAGCUGUAAAAUACAGAAUAUUGUUACUGUAUCAGUAUCUUAUGCACAAAUUUUUUUAUCAUUCUUUGCACUGCAGUUUGAAUGGGAUAGCUAUCCAAAUAAGAACUUUUUUGAAUUUUUGCUUAUUUUACUAUUCCAUUAUCCAUUUAUUUCUAAUCUCUUCCUCUAUGAACUUGUGCACAUUUGAUGUAACCAGACCGUCCGGUGUAUAGACUGCUCAUUGUGAAAAUUAAUUUCUGCAGUUCAUUUUCCAUUGGAUCAGCUCUUCUUUUUUUCUGAAAGAUCCAAUGGAUCAACUUUUUUUUUUUUUUCUGAAAGAUCCAGUGGAUCAGCUCAUUCUCUUCCUUUUUAUUAAAACUGUGACUUUUUCCUUCUAAAAGUGAGAAAUAACAGAUUGAUUUUAUGUUCUUUAUUGUGAAUUGAGCAAAUUACAAAACUAGAAUCAUCUUGUCUUCUACCUUACCUUCUCACUAUUGAAACUGGAUGUCAUAUCUGGGAAACUCUGAAGUUUGUUAUGUCGUGACUGAUGUAACUAGCCAAACAAAAGCACUACUGAUUCAGUUAUAAUACAGUAGAAGGUUCUACACAGAUGAUCUUGACUUUUCUUGUUUGUGAUCUGUCGUUAUUUUAUCAUUACUUUCAUUUCAUUGGUGUCAUGUUCAAGUGUUCAGGCAAUUUUAUAUGCUCCAAAGAUGAGAUGCAUCAGGUUUUCUGUUUGUUACUGUUAUUAGGUGGGAGGGCGAAAAUCAGCCUGCAAAUGAGAAGGGUAAGCUGUGUUGCACGGAAAGCCCCAAGUUUUAGUGGUCCACUAAUGCUUUCAAACCGAGCUUCUGCAAACAGUUUAUCCUUUUGACUGUGAGGGCCCAACAUGCCUUUUCUACUUAAAGUGCCUCUUGUUCUUGUUCUUGUGUUUGUUGAGGGCCCAAUAUGCCUUAUCUACUUAACGCUUAUUGGUGGUUGUAGGAACUUUCUUCAUAACAUGUCAUUUGCCACUAACAUGUGGGUGGAAGCACUGUUGGUUGUGGAUGCUUUUACUCAGUUUUCCAUCAUUCAUUGUAAUACAAUCAUGCCUCAAUGUUCGAAUGACCAAGCCCAAUCUUCUAGAUUCUUUUGAUUUUCUUUAGCGGCUUUGUAGUUAUGGGAUUGAUUUCUUGUCUUUGCCUGUUUUCAUUCUUAAUAAUUUAACAUUUUCUUUCAAAAGAAAUGCAUCAAAUUAUGAAGCUGACUUAUUGAUCUGCAUUCCUGCCAAUCUACAGGAGCUGCAAAAGGGAGAGGACUGCUAGGUCAGAUUUUGGAAGGGCUGCCCAUGUUGAUUUAUUAGACAUCAAACAGAGAUUUUUCCCUUCAUUUCUUAGAUUAUGUAGAAAAUAUAAGGGUUAAUUUAAUCAAUUAAAAACUAUAUGAACUAUGAUCAUUUCACAUUAUAAGGUGUUCUCCUAUUGCACAAUAAAUUACAAAGGAAUCUUAAUUCGCUCAUUAAACCAAAGAUCACAAGAUGAUUACCUUUUGGAUCCUUGAAAACAAAUAUUCAAAUACUCGAGGGGUCAUCCCACAAUUAACACUAUGUCUUCGAGUGCCUCCCUCAAUGUCCCCCAACAUUGUAUGGGUCUUUCCACUGCCAGUCUACAAAAACCACAUACUUUAAGAUAUUGUGCUUCCUCCAGCUAAUCACCUAAACAUUAAUUAAUUACAUCUUACAUGUUCAUGAAACUUUCUAAAUUAAAUAUUUCUUUUUCAUCCUUUUUUUUUUUUUCACAAAACUCUCCAUAGCAAUCCACUAUUGGUACUAUUUAUUUUUUGCUGAAAUUGAUGCAAUCAGAACUCAACAUAUUAAAAUCAAUGGAUUUUAAAUUAGGGACAAGCACUUUUGAAAUUUAAGGAUCAUGGAAGCCACUUUUUAAGAUUUCAAAAUCUCUUUCAAUACUUCAUCAUUCUCUAUUUUUCUAUCUUUAGAAUAGAUGAGAAUUUUUAAUAUCAAUAUUUUAUUCAUAUUUUUUUUGUGAACUCAAAAUUGUUAGCCAUGUUGUCUAUUACCACUUCUUCCUUUCCCAUGGAAGUGCUACAGAAUCUUUCACUUUAGACCUCAUUUAGUUCAUCAAUAUUAUCUUUAAAAAAAUCAAAUUUGAUCAUUUCAUCUUCAUGAAGCUCAUAUAUAUACUUUAAAAAUUUCUAUCCAAAAGUUUACUGGCACAUGUAAAACUUUUUUUUAAUAAGAAAGUUCUUUGAUUUAUUCUAAAUCUGAAAAGGAUAAAUCAAAUUCUUUACGAACGUUUGUUUUUCCUUAUACUUUGAUCUUUUACACCUUAUACCUUUUUAGAAACAAUGUAAUGACACAUGAAUUUUCUACAUGCGUAGGUAAGAGGAUCGAGAUCUACAUUUACAGAAAAAAUGAUUUGAGUAAUUGGACUGAUCACAACUAAUAUUGCUUUAAAUCUUCAUGCUAUAAGAGUUCAUGUCUCCAUAGACACCAUGUUUCAUUGAAAUACUAUAGAAUUCAUGUUUAUCUGAAGUACACCGUAAACAUAGCAAAAGUCCAAAUGCAUUACCUCUUCCAUGUUUGAACCGAUUACAAUUUCUUGCAUUGCCGGUCCCAAGCCCGGGUAAAGGAGGAGGGAGAAGGGCGUCAAGGUGAGUUGUAUCAUUUUCUUCCAUAUUUCUUUAAUGCAGUAGUGCUAGGUUGAAAUUUUCAGCAUUUCUACAGGUUGAGAAGUGGGUCGAUCCAAAAUUCUGCUGACAGUGUAAUUCUUCUUAUUGAUGCUUGUGGAGGGGAUGACACUCUUGCUUUUGCAAGAAAUUCUAAUAAGGAAAUGGAACGAGCCAGCCAUGAUAUCUUUGUGGGCAAUGUAAGGCCUUGGGAUUCUUUGCUCAAGGCAAUUGAUUUUGGGUUGUCUAUGUUCUUUAAACCUGCUGAAAUACCAUGAUACUGGCAAAGAAAAAGGUUGUUUGCCUCAGGUCGGUCAGUGGAAUAUGAAGAACAAGAAAAUGAUAAAUGGAAGCACUGUAAACUACUGGGCUUGUAUCAACUUUUCACGGAGUGUUCAAGAAAGUACUGCUUGUUGCUUUUGCCAGGAGCUGGCGCAGAUGUGCCAAGUCUCUGGCAUGGAAUUUAGCCGUGAACCUGUUAUUCCAAUCUACUCGGCAAGGCCUGAUCAAGUAGAGAAGCCCUGAAAUAUGUAUAUAACGCAGCAACAAACAAGCUCAAAGGAAAAGAGUUAGAGCUACUUUUAGCCAUUCUUCCAGACAACAAUGGCCCUUUGUAUGGUAUGUUUGUGCCUGUGGUUUUAGGCAUGGAUGAAUGGGAGCUAGAUCGAUGGAUUUUCUUUAUUUAUUUAUUUAUUUUUUUGAAACUAUUUAAUUUAUUAUUGUAAAUAUUAUUCGCGGCAGCUCGAUGCAUGUGAAAGGGCCACAUAGGCAUGUAUUCUUUUUUAUAGGAAAACAAUCACUAGGCACAAUCUACUUCCUAAGAGGAAUGUGAAAUCAGGUGGGCCUUGACCAAAA